GCCCAGGUAGGAAAGAAUGCGGUCUUAAAGGGUGUGUGCAGCUUCUGAAUGGAAAACAGGAAGAAAGAAAAAAAAUGGCUAAUAACUGUGAUUAUGCUGCAUCAGCUCCCUCACAGAUAACAUGGUCUAGCAGUUUAGGAAAGCAAGACUGACGCUUUUACAACUAUUUAUAUUCAAAAGUAAUAACCUACACACAGGUAUAAACUCUUUUCUAUGGUUAAUGCCAUUAGAAAGGAAGACUUGAGGUCACCACCACCUUGGUUGCAUCAGCCUCUCUCAGUCACUGAUCCAUGCAGCCUCUCCCAAGGAGAAGGAAUAAAGUGUUUUACAAUAUUCCCAGCUAAAAGGAGUCAUCCUUGACAGUAAGACUUCUAUCUUUUGGGACUGAGCCUCAGCAGUGAAACUGCUUGAAGAUAUCCAGGAAAAAAGAAAGACAGAAAGCACAGACUGAGGAAAAAGAGGAAGAAGUAGACCACGUGCAAGAAAACUCAUGAGGGAGCGCAGAAGGAAGAAGGAAUAUAUGAACAAGUCUCCACACAGCAAAUAUCACCUCCAGUCAUAUUCAUACAAGAUAACGAGAUGACCCCUCUGCCACUUUCCUUCAAAGUUGAAACAGAGAUCACUGUGCAAGCUGUCUUCACUAGGACUGAGCCACACCCUGCACCAUUCUGUGCAGCAAAUGCUCCAUUUCCAG
ensembl:lncRNA